rnacentral:rRNA from 1 species
UAAGCGACUAAGCGUACACGGUGGAUGCCCUGGCAGUCAGAGGCGAUGAAGGACGUGCUAAUCUGCGAUAAGCGUCGGUAAGGUGAUAUGAACCGUUAUAACCGGCGAUUUCCGAAUGGGGAAACCCAGUGUGAUUCGUCACACUAUCAUUAACUGAAUCCAUAGGUUAAUGAGGCGAACCGGGGGAACUGAAACAUCUAAGUACCCCGAGGAAAAGAAAUCAACCGAGAUUCCCCCAGUAGCGGCGAGCGAACGGGGAGCAGCCCAGAGCCUGAAUCAGUGUGUGUGUUAGUGGAAGCGUCUGGAAAGGCGCGCGAUACAGGGUGACAGCCCCGUACACAAAAAUGCACAUACUGUGAGCUCGAUGAGUAGGGCGGGACACGAGGUAUCCUGUCUGAAUAUGGGGGGACCAUCCUCCAAGGCUAAAUACUCCUGACUGACCGAUAGUGAACCAGUACCGUGAGGGAAAGGCGAAAAGAACCCCGGCGAGGGGAGUGAAAAAGAACCUGAAACCGUGUACGUACAAGCAGUGGGAGCACGCUUAGGCGUGUGACUGCGUACCUUUUGUAUAAUGGGUCAGCGACUUAUAUUCUGUAGCAAGGUUAACCGAAUAGGGGAGCCGAAGGGAAACCGAGUCUUAACUGGGCGUUAAGUUGCAGGGUAUAGACCCGAAACCCGGUGAUCUAGCCAUGGGCAGGUUGAAGGUUGGGUAACACUAACUGGAGGACCGAACCGACUAAUGUUGAAAAAUUAGCGGAUGACUUGUGGCUGGGGGUGAAAGGCCAAUCAAACCGGGAGAUAGCUGGUUCUCCCCGAAAGCUAUUUAGGUAGCGCCUCGUGAAUUCAUCUCCGGGGGUAGAGCACUGUUUCGGCAAGGGGGUCAUCCCGACUUACCAACCCGAUGCAAACUGCGAAUACCGGAGAAUGUUAUCACGGGAGACACACGGCGGGUGCUAACGUCCGUCGUGAAGAGGGAAACAACCCAGACCGCCAGCUAAGGUCCCAAAGUCAUGGUUAAGUGGGAAACGAUGUGGGAAGGCCCAGACAGCCAGGAUGUUGGCUUAGAAGCAGCCAUCAUUUAAAGAAAGCGUAAUAGCUCACUGGUCGAGUCGGCCUGCGCGGAAGAUGUAACGGGGCUAAACCAUGCACCGAAGCUGCGGCAGCGACGCUGAUGCGUUGUUGGGUAGGGGAGCGUUCUGUAAGCCUGUGAAGGUGUGCUGUGAGGCAUGCUGGAGGUAUCAGAAGUGCGAAUGCUGACAUAAGUAACGAUAAAGCGGGUGAAAAGCCCGCUCGCCGGAAGACCAAGGGUUCCUGUCCAACGUUAAUCGGGGCAGGGUGAGUCGACCCCUAAGGCGAGGCCGAAAGGCGUAGUCGAUGGGAAACAGGUUAAUAUUCCUGUACUUGGUGUUACUGCGAAGGGGGGACGGAGAAGGCUAUGUUGGCCGGGCGACGGUUGUCCCGGUUUAAGCGUGUAGGCUGGUUUUCCAGGCAAAUCCGGAAAAUCAAGGCUGAGGCGUGAUGACGAGGCACUACGGUGCUGAAGCAACAAAUGCCCUGCUUCCAGGAAAAGCCUCUAAGCAUCAGGUAACAUCAAAUCGUACCCCAAACCGACACAGGUGGUCAGGUAGAGAAUACCAAGGCGCUUGAGAGAACUCGGGUGAAGGAACUAGGCAAAAUGGUGCCGUAACUUCGGGAGAAGGCACGCUGAUAUGUAGGUGAAGUCCCUCGCGGAUGGAGCUGAAAUCAGUCGAAGAUACCAGCUGGCUGCAACUGUUUAUUAAAAACACAGCACUGUGCAAACACGAAAGUGGACGUAUACGGUGUGACGCCUGCCCGGUGCCGGAAGGUUAAUUGAUGGGGUCAGCGCAAGCGAAGCUCUUGAUCGAAGCCCCGGUAAACGGCGGCCGUAACUAUAACGGUCCUAAGGUAGCGAAAUUCCUUGUCGGGUAAGUUCCGACCUGCACGAAUGGCGUAAUGAUGGCCAGGCUGUCUCCACCCGAGACUCAGUGAAAUUGAACUCGCUGUGAAGAUGCAGUGUACCCGCGGCAAGACGGAAAGACCCCGUGAACCUUUACUAUAGCUUGACACUGAACAUUGAGCCUUGAUGUGUAGGAUAGGUGGGAGGCUUUGAAGUGUGGACGCCAGUCUGCAUGGAGCCGGCCUUGAAAUACCACCCUUUAAUGUUUGAUGUUCUAACGUUGACCCGUGAUCCGGGUUGCGGACAGUGUCUGGUGGGUAGUUUGACUGGGGCGGUCUCCUCCUAAAGAGUAACGGAGGAGCACGAAGGUUGGCUAAUCCUGGUCGGACAUCAGGAGGUUAGUGCAAUGGCAUAAGCCAGCUUGACUGCGAGCGUGACGGCGCGAGCAGGUGCGAAAGCAGGUCAUAGUGAUCCGGUGGUUCUGAAUGGAAGGGCCAUCGCUCAACGGAUAAAAGGUACUCCGGGGAUAACAGGCUGAUACCGCCCAAGAGUUCAUAUCGACGGCGGUGUUUGGCACCUCGAUGUCGGCUCAUCACAUCCUGGGGCUGAAGUAGGUCCCAAGGGUAUGGCUGUUCGCCAUUUAAAGUGGUACGCGAGCUGGGUUUAGAACGUCGUGAGACAGUUCGGUCCCUAUCUGCCGUGGGCGCUGGAGAACUGAGGGGGGCUGCUCCUAGUACGAGAGGACCGGAGUGGACGCAUCACUGGUGUUCGGGUUGUCAUGCCAAUGGCACUGCCCGGUAGCUAAAUGCGGAAGAGAUAAGUGCUGAAAGCAUCUAAGCACGAAACUUGCCCCGAGAUGAGUUCUCCCUGACUCCUUGAGAGUCCUGAAGGAACGUUGAAGACGACGACGUUGAUAGGCCGGGUGUGUAAGCGCAGCGAUGCGUUGAGCUAACCGGUACUAAUGAACCGUGAGGCUUAACCU